UGUCAGAAUAUGGUUCACGGAAACAUUAUUUUUAGUUCGAUACCUGUCCCGAGUUCUAGUAUCAGCUGCAGUCUCAUAUGCAGGGCCGAUGAGAGUUUUGGUGGUUGCAUGCGGUGGGAAUCACGUGGAUUUCGAUAUCGGAGGAAUGCUUCUUCAUUCUUGAGAGAAUGGGCGUGAGUUCUUGUCGUAUGGUGUCUUGGUGUAGGAUUAGCUGAGUUGAGAAAUGAAGUUUGGGAGACUUUAUACGUGAUUUCGAAGUUGGGUCGCGUGAGGGAAGAGUCGAGUAGAAUGAAUUUCUUGCGGUUUUCUAGUGCAUCAUCUGCAUCGGCAGGUCACCAGCUGCAGAAUUCGCUUCUGCUGGGAUUCGCACACGGGUCGUGCUCAACAUGGUCUUCUUCUCUUGGUGCUCCCCCUUUUCGGGUGCCUCGACGGCGGGCAUGGAGUGGGCUUAAGCAGGCGUCAAUGUUUGGGUGCGCUUGGGAGAGUCAGUCCUGGGGGAUGGUUCCCGCUGCGAACCCAUGGGAUUACGGUGUUGCUGUACAUUCUAGGAGGGAGACACGCUCUGCGUCUGUUUCUAGGUCUGUUGGAGACGCUGAGAAUUUUUCUGACCUCGGACAUUCAAGCAGGGCGGUAAUGUUUUUUUCAUCUUCAAACUUGGUCAAGAGUCUCACAUCAUCUACCUCUCAAGGGAAUUGGUUUGCAGGGAAAUUCAGAAAUCUCAAGAGCCGGUCCAAAUGGUCACUGUAUGCAUCUCGCGUGGAGCCGUAUUCUACGAAUGGUGCUGAUCGUAGCUAUGAGGGAGUUGCUGCAGUAGAUGGGGAGCUUUUGUGGAGCGGCCGAUGGUGGGCUAGGCCUAUUGACGCGCGUAAGCAAAUUUUCUGCAAUCGGUCACUCAACAUGAAGAGCAUCGACGCCAUCGGCUUUGACAUGGACUAUACUCUUGCACAAUACAAACCAGAAACCUUUGAAAGUUUGGCGUAUGUGGGCACAAUUCAAAAAUUGGUGCACAACUUGAAUUAUCCAUCAGAACUUCUGCAAUGGAAAUUUGACUGGAGGUUUAUGGUGAGGGGCCUUGUGCUGGACAAAAGGCGUGGCUGCAUACUGAAGAUGGACCGCCACAAGUAUGUAAAAGUGGCUUAUCACGGAUUUCGCGAGUUGUCUCGAGAUGAUCGGCAAGCAAUGUACGGCAACACUUUGUCACGUGAAUCGUAUGAUGAGCCAGACUAUGCAUUAAUCGACACACUUUUCUCACUAGCUGAGGCGUACUUGUUCAUGCAGCUUGUUGACUUCAAAGACGCUUUCCCAGAUAAAAUGCCUUCUGGCGCCUAUGAUUAUUCACAGCUCUAUAAGGACGUGAGGUCAGCUGUAGACCUUUGUCAUCGAGAUGGUACUCUAAAACAAGCUGUUGCAAAUGAUCCCAGCAAGUACAUAAACGAGGAUCCCUUGAUAAUUCCAAUGCUGAAAAUGCUCAAACAAUCUGGACGCAAAUUAUUUCUUGUUACAAACAGCUUGUGGGAUUACACGCAUGUAGUCAUGAAUUUUCUGUGUGGAAAAUGUGGUACUGAAGGUGGCGUUCCUCGAGAUGACGAAUGGCUCUCCUACUUUGAUGUUGUUGUUACUGGAAGUGCAAAACCUACUUUUUUCAUGGAUGGGAAUAGAACUCCUUUAUUUGAGGUAGACAUAAGCACAGGCAUGCUACAGAAUACCGACUCAGGCGUACCUAUGGCGCAGAUUGGUGGAGUUGGUCUUGAAGGUGUUGUGUUGCCAAAUGCAACUGUGAAAAAGGCACAUCGAGUGUUCCAGGGUGGUUCUGUCGCUCAUCUACAUAAUUUACUAUCUAUCGAGGCUAGUUCACAGGUUUUAUAUGUAGGCGAUCAUAUUUAUGGAGAUAUCUUACGAAGCAAAAAAGAAUUAGGGUGGAGGACAAUGCUUGUAGUGCCUGAGUUAGCAGCUGAGCUGGAUGUACUUCAUCAAACUAUGACCAUCCGGAAGGACUAUUCUGACUUCAGGAAAUAUCCGAGUUGCGCACACAACGAGAUGACCUGGAAGAUAGUUUGCUGCGUCUGGAAUGGUGUCUCAGACAUGAAAACCACACAGACGAGGACCAACAAAGACUAGAGCAGGAAGUGGCACACUUACGAAAAGAGAAUGCUAUCGUGCGCGAACAACAUCGUCAGGGCCAACGAGAAUGUCAUCACUUGUUUCACAAGACUUGGGGACAACUAAUGAAGACAGGCUAUCAAAAUUCUCGGUUUUCGCACCAGGUGGAGAGGUUUGCCUGCUUGUACACUAGCCAUGUGACUAACUUAUGCUAUUAUUCGCCGAACAAGAGUUAUCGAACGACAGAAGACUUCAUGCCACAUGAGCUUCAAGGUGACCGGCGAUGAGGUUUGUGCAAUGUAUCAAGUUCUAUUUCGCUUCAUACCUGUUCCGAAUACCUUUUCAAAGAUUAACAGUCUGUGUGAUCAGUCAUUCGCUGUAAGCGUUAUACCUUUAAAUGUGUACGUUUUUUUAAUGCUAUUCUCACAACUUCUUUCUUCGAGUUACAUCAGGGUUCAACCGCUGCAAUAAAUGCGAUUGCAAAUGGCAAUCUUGUCAUUGAGAGUGUAUGUUCUUGACGCCAUAAAUGGUCUGUCUACUGCAAUAUAUAUAUACAUUCUCUGCAAUUUUGUUAUAAGAUUGCACUAUUUACUGAA